ensembl:lncRNA
GCUGUGUUCGGGUCAGGGACAUUUCCUCCUCUUUGGUCACAGCGAUGAGGCUAAUUGGUUGCUAGGUUACCAACAGCAUCUCCGUCGCUGCCGUACGACUAUAGUGCAAUCUCUAUUACGUUUUUGGCGGUUACGUCUUAUAUGCAGGUGAAAAUGACACUUGGUUGUUCUGAGUGAAAUAUCUGAGUGUGGAUGUGGCAUUGAGCAUAUAAGUACGUUCCUUAAAAUAAACGUUGCUUCUGAUGGGAAACUGUGGUCUCCAGUGUGAAAGUCCUGCUUGUACCUCGGAUUACAAACAUAAUAUUGAUGUACAAAGAAAAAAAUAAAUCUUCAUCUUUGAAAGACCAGCUCUAAGAUAAAAGCUAUUUAAUUGUUUGCAUUAAUGAUUCACCUGCAAAGUGAAAUCACCUUCAAAGGGGAAUAUGAAUUUUCUCUCACUGUGACCGAAAAAGAAGAAAAUAAAACAUUAAGAAAAAAAAAAAAUCUGUGUUGCUGUCUGAAGGCAGAAGGAAACCAAAGAGCGAGACAAAGGGGGAAUAUUGAACUUUAUCGGCAACAACUUCAUGCGAAUGCUAAUGUUGCUCCCUGUCGCUCUGUGUGCAAAUAGGAAACUGUUUGCUGACACGUGAACUUAAUAAAGCAAUAUUAUAUCUGGGAUGUGCGCCUGUCAGCUUGUUUACAGGUUUCACUGCCCCUCGGUGACCCACUAAUGCAGGAAUGCAGCUCUGAAGGGGCCCUGAGGGGCCGCUGUGUACAUCGUGUGUUUCCUUGUGGUCAAAUGAGAACAAAUUCCCUUCCUCGUGAAGCAUUUGCAAAGCACUUGUUUUUUACUUUUAUUGUUAGUAUUCGUGCAUGUUUGCCAGCGAUCUUUUCUGCCUCCGUUGUCCCAUUGGUGCGAAUGAUUCUUGGCUGCGUGAUGUAAAUCAAAGUGUUUCUUCCUCCCUCCGAUGCAGCUUGAGGGUUGCAAGUUACACACAGCAGCAUUGAUGCUGGACUCACAGAAUGUGAAGAACAGGAUGGGAAGCUGCUUCUCAACAUUCCAAGUUUCUUUCUCUGCAGACCUGCUCCUCAAACGAUUCUGUUUACUUGUACAUGACAGGAAAGCCCGUUUGCUCAUCUUUAGAGCUAAUGCCUCCGCCACGGCCGUUUCAUGUCCAUCCAAGUACUUCAACUAGGAGUUCUACACCCACUCCCUCCCCACACAACACAAGCAUUUCUCCUCAGUAAGGAGCAUGUUUUCCUCUCUUUGGCACACGUGCACUUACAGUUUGCCACGUAACUGGCUGUGGAUGGCUGUGAUCUGCAGUGAAAGGAGGAGAUAAAAGCACAGGUUGGUGCUCACAGUCACUCACAGGCGGUUGUUGUGAUGAACUCGGAGGCCGGUCAGUGACACGCAACCGGCCCGCCGCCGACUCCUGAGAGGUGGCGGGCCGCCGCUGGUGGAGAAAAGGGGCCGUGGAGGUCAGACACCGCCGCCGGUCGAACGGUGGAGCUGGAGACAAAAGCAGCGAGUUGUACUGCCGCUCGACGCUCGCCGACUUCUCCGUCUGUGAGGUUCAAAGAUUUGUCAUGAAUAAUGUCGUAAAACAGACGUCAGCCAAUCGGAGCAGCUCAAAGAAGCACCUGCCACUCAGUGAAGCGUUCCACGGCUCAAUGUCACUCUCACUUUGGCUGCAGUUAGCGCCGUUAGCAUCGUUAGCAUCGUUAGCUGCUAGCCGGCUGAGAGUCUGAGCCUCCGGGAGCUCCACAGGGUUUGACUGAGACCAGCUGAGACUGCUGGAGGCUGCCGAGAAACCGUGGAGGUCAUGGACCCUGAAACCUCAGCGAGAUAGAGGAUCGAUGGUGCUACUCCGGGACGGAGGGGUCAACAGGGACGUCUGAAUGUAGACUAAACGUGUUCUAAAAGCAGGAGGUCUGAGAGGGAAAUGAAUGUACUGCAGAGAAUAUCCACAAACUAAAUGUUCUCUUUUAGCUGUUGUUUUCUCCACAAUUGAACCAAGACAAAAAUUUGCAUAGAAGCUGAUUCCGUCACUGACCACAGGACAACGUUCUUUGCUGCAGGAAGAGGGGACAGAACAAAUUGUCCCCAAAAUGCUAAAAAUUAAUCAGAUUCUACGGACGUAGAUGCGGUAAAUACGCCAAUCUGGAUUCAUGUAUUCAGAGCUGCGUUGUUACAACACUGCUGUGCAGAGUUAGUGGGGAUCAGUGACGUGACUCAGUGACUCACCAGGUGGACUGACGUUAAUGUUCAAAGACCUUAUGGCUCAAGUGCUAAAAUUCAAUAAUUAUUUUUCACAAUUAUUCAAAUUGCAAGUUUCAUCAAAUUGACUGUUUGGGUUUUAUUUCAUUUUUUAGACACUAUAAUUAAACACAUUUCAAUAAGCUGAUAGAGUGAACCAUGAUUAUGGGGGUGCGUGACACUAAUGCAGCAUGUCAGAUUGUCUGUGGGCGUGGCUUAGCUGUGUGUGUGUGUGUGCGUGUGUGUGUGUUCUCGAGAGCUAAGUGUAAUGAGUUCUGAAGCACUAAGAGCAAAAGGGAUUUACAAGAGGUUUCCAGAGCAACAAGCGUCCGAGCGGCUCGGCAGACUUACUUUGAACGUGUGAGCGGCAAAACAAACACUUACGACGCUCUGGUGUUAAAUUAGAUUCCGUGUUCCAUAAAGCUGUUGUGAUGUGGAGGUCACAGAUAAUACAGACAGGGGGAAUGAUUUUUAUUUCAUCUUGUAAAUGAGUUUAGUUGGCAGAUGAAUGUAAUUUAAGGAGCCUACAGACGGAUCAUUCACCUGUACGAACCUGAUUAGCAGACGGUCCCAUUAAAUGAGAGACCGAGUGGAAGCUUUUUAAUUCAAAUGAUGCAAACCAGCUGAAUCAAAUUAAGAUGCAAUUAGGACCAAAUGUGUUGAUUGAAGAUCUAUACGGUUCCACCAUGUCUUCAUUAACAGCUUUUAUUAAAGCACGGUGUCACUCCGUUAUCAUUUAUUUCAUCAGAAUUGCUUGACGCUUGACGCUCGUAUGUUUUUUCUUCCGCCUCCCACACAUGUCGGUUAUGCAUUGAUCUGAAAAACAACCAUUUACAAAUACUACCUGGAGAAAAUACAUCAAAAACGUGUUUUCUCUCUCGUUGAAAACACCCCUGAUAAAAGGACCCUAUUGGACCAAAAACCUUCCUGAUCUUUGCCAGAUGUUUUGUCUGCCUUUCUAGACCUUUUUCCAUAGAAGAGUUGGAACACAGGAAUCAGGAACACAUGGACACGUCACAAGGGGUCACCUGCUCAUCAGGCGUGAGGCAAACAAAGCCUCUUGGUGGAGAAGAGACAUUUAACAGGUUAAAUGAGGCCAUUGAGAGUCGACUCGUCCUAACGUCUAACGUCCUCCGUCCUACCUUCAGCUCCUGCAGGUGGAGAUCUCUAAAGGGGAUUUUUAUCAGCUUCUGCAGUAUAAUUAUGGACCUGCCAGGACCACGGAACAUGAAGGAAGAACAAGCGUGAAUGCAGUGUCACCCGAGGGUCGCUUGCUCCUGAGAUAAAGAAGAAAUGGUAGAAAUGAAAAAUGUUUUGCCGCGGUGAGGCGAUCGAUGGCUGCAGCCACGGAGGGGAAAACCAUUUAUUUUGCCAUUUGAUACAUGAUAUUUCUCACUGUAUUUGCUGGCAAUACGUCAUGUGAUUUGUAACCAUAACAUGUCCUUUCACUGUUUAGGAAAACCGCAACAAGCCGCGAUGUUUCUGAAGUUGGAAGGAAAGAUGUUUUUUUAUCUCUUUGCAUGUGUGAACGAUGUGCUUUUGACAUCUGAGUCCUGAAUGCUGGAUCGUGGUUGGGCUGAUUCUCGGCACCCCGACAUGCUGUGUGGGAUUAUUGUUUCUACUCACACUCACCUUUUCUCUCCCAGCGCGAUGAUGGUUUUGAUGGUAUCAUUUUCAUUGUGGAAAAAUUGAACCGUGAGAGAAAACGCGUGGUUGAGCUGAGUGCACUUCAGCCGGGAUCGCUGUAGAGAAGCUCCGAUACGACACCAAUGGACAAGAGACAUGACUCCACCCCAUCUUCAGCUGGACAAUGGUCAUUGCUCCAAUUCGCACAAUCUGAAUGUCGUGUAAUUUGAUAGAUUGCAUUAGCGGGUGGGCCAUCGAUCUAAAGCAAAAAGAGCAUCCAGAGCUCAUCGAUCAAAAUGCAAAGCACAGGUUGUUGGCAUUUGCAUAUUAACCAGGCUGCAUGUUUUCAAAAACAUUUCAUGAAAGUGUGACAAGAGAAUUCGACAGAGUUUGAGACAAUAGCAGAGUAGUAGAAUAAAUAAUAGAUUACUCAAAGCUGACUUUUAAACUGGGCUAACCAUUUAAAGCAUACAGAGCAGGCACAGUGCUGACAGGUUUGCAUUAUUCAUGUUCCACACGCACACGCACACACACACACACACACACACACACACACACACAAUGCUGCAAAGCCUCAGAAACAGAGAUGAAGAGCGGACUCUUUUUUUGUCAAAUAGAAAGCUGAACUAGUUGAGCAAUGAUUCUUGUGACUAAGCGUCAGAUAGCACGUCAUAAUGGACAGUGUAAUGUUGCUGUUGUAAUGUUGCUGUUGUAAUGUUGCUGUUGUUGUUUUCAUUUCUAAAGAUGAUGCUUCGUGCCGUUUGGGAAACUCACAACUGAACGUUUAAAGUGAGAUAAUUGCCUCUACAAGCUAAACGACAACGUUAAAUAUUGAAGUAAGUAGAGGGUGUUUUUUCAGUGAGAGCAUCCUUUUGGUGGCGAUAAUCUUCAGUUAAAUGGUCCGCUUGGUGUUGAUGUAUCUCUGUGGUGUCGCUCACAGGACCACAGAGCAGAUGGAACCACACACGUCUUUUCUCGCUUGUUAUUCUUCUGAUAUUCUGUUCUUCGCUUUGGGUCAACAGAAAACAAGGAAAGAGCCCCAGAUUCAGCACCCUGGACAGCGGUCGAGUCUUCUGGGAAAAUGAGAUUUCAAGUGCUUUGCUGGAUAAAGGGCCACUCAGAAAAAAUAAAUGAAAGAAAACAUGAAGAAUGGCUGUUUUAGCUUUUAGGAGGGAAGAAAACCUGCUAAUGGAACAAGUGAACACCUCUUGGGGAGAUUUCUUGAAAUAAGAUGUUAUUUCAAAGCUGGUUCCAACUUUUAAAGUUUGGGUUGUAUUGUGACAGAAAAAGCGUAUUAAGCUCAAUCGAUGUCACUUGAUGAGUGUGUGCUCUCUUAAUGUCGUGACCUUAUUGGGAGUAAUAGACUAACACGCCAGAACAUUACGCGUUUUGGAAGAGUUUUUAAAUCAGAUUUUCUCGCCCAGGAUCUGGAGUGUGGGGGAGGAGUCUGGGGGACAGAUGAUGUGGCUCUGUUGGCUCCAUCAGAUCAUCAUGACCUCCGGCUCGCUCCGGGCCGGUUUCCUGCAGAGCGUGAAGCAAUCAGGAAAAGAGGCAGUACCUCCAACUCUGAGGCCACGAUUCUGUGCUGACGAAUUUGACCCCCCCCCGAGCGAGGGAUGUCAAGUAUUCUCCAGAUACGGGUAGCGAGCGAAAGGAUUAGAUUGAGGAGGCAGGCAGACAAAAUGAGCUUCCUUCACGGGAGAUACGGUGAGCGAGCUCAGACGUCUGCAGCGAACUCUGAGUAGAGCUGCCGCUCCUCCACACUGAACGGGGUCUGAUGAGGAGGCCUCCCCCCGGAGGUUCCCCAGCAGCGCCGCCCCCCCUGGGAGCAUGGCCGGGGGUCAGGACCUCGCCGGAUGGAUGUUACGUCUCGCCCUGGGAACACCUCAAGGUUCCCCAGGACCUGGAAAGGAAAAAUAAUAUCAUACAGUAACUGUUAUUAUUCAUCAGUAUUACAAGAGAUUGUUUUUAGUCCCUGAAAUAAAUCCUUUCCAGGGAGAUUCUAAUUGGUGCGUUUGACUACUAUUUUGUUUAAGGGCUACAAACCUCAAAUCGAGAUAAUGAGCUUCUGCGUUUGCUGAUAUAUGAAGGCAGUUACAUAAUGCAGUAAUUUCAAUGUGCCUUGAGAGGAAGAGGCUUCCCCAGAGAGGGGCAGAGCAAGAAUACAAGUCUAAAGGAGCAAGGACAAUUCCAAUAACACAUUAAGGCACAUCCAGAUAUUUUUAGUCAAUCGUUUUCAGCGCCUCGAUCACAGUAAGUAAUUAGUGAGUAAACUCUCAUUCACUUGCCAAGAUUCCAAAUUGGAGCCUGAAAAAUAAGAUGAUUUUGAGCAGAGAUGAUUGAGUCGUCAUCUUGAGAUGAAAUCAGAUUUAAAGAAAUACAUGAAACCACUUGGUUUUCUGGCUUAUUCCUUGUUUAAAGGAGACGUAUAGCAGUAAGGUCCGGGUACUUGUAUUGCUGGUCUCUUUCUGUCUGAAUAUACAACGAACAACAAAACAGCCAUCAACAUUUCCGUGAUUGAGACCCAGACCGGUUCCUUGCUUCAUAGUUAUACUCUGAAUUAUAACAUUCCCACUCAUGACUCGCUCGUGAGGAUCGAUACAAAUCUUUUGUGCUAAGAUGAAUGUGCAAAGGCUGCCAGCCGCUGCAUAUUCAUCUUCUAAAGCUCUUCUAAAGCUGCUCUAAAGCUCUCCAAUCAUCGCAUUGUCUUCCGUCUGUGUGUGAAAAUGACAAAUGGAUCCUUGUGAAGUCCAAACUUUUCCCUUUGUCAUUGGUUUGCUACAUUCUGUCAUUGAAAAAGUUCACAGCCGAGUGGAGAACCUCACCCCUUAACCCCCUGCUAAAUCCUCCUAUUUCUGACUCUCGUGUGAUGUCUCCUAUACCAGCAUGGAGGGAACAGGUGCCUGAAAAACCUUCUCCAGCCAAUUUAUUCUCCCAGACAUCUGCUCGGCGGUGCGGCAGUGCCAGUUUUCUUCCAAGACUCUUUGCACACGACCGGAGCAGCUUGAAUUUUGGCCGACAGCGUCCACAAAUCCCGGUUACGGAGGUCACAGGAGCGCCGAGAUGAAAAGAUGAAACUCGUUUGUAGCGCUGCUGCUCUGCGUGAAGACACCGUGACGUCGCCUUGUUUGGAUUACGUCACCAUCUUGGUCUUUUGGCAUUUUUUUUCAAAGCCCAAGUGACCCCGGAGGGGGAAGUUAGGUUCACCCAGAAGCUGACGGAGACAUUUUUGGGUGACAAAAAUGUGACAAACAAAAACAGAUCCGAGAUUGGACGACGGCGUGCUAACGACCUGUCCAUCAAAGUGAGCCCGCCCUGAAGUCACAGCGGCGAGUCUCUCUUUGUGCCCGGCUCAGGCGACCACCAAGGCUGCAGCGCGAGGAGGCACGGGCUGAGCGUAGCGGGAGGGGUGCGGCAGAUUCCCUGAUAAAUAUUGAUGGCGGAAGUCGGCCGUGUUGACAUGGCGAGUGGCUGAGACGCAGUUACAGCUGGCGGGGAGCCGGCUACAGCGGCCCUGCUGGCACUCAUCAUUCUCGCUGAAUGCCGGGAGUGCUGAGCUGUGCAACACGCGCCUCUAUAUCAGAUCAAAGUAACACAAUGAAAUCAAUCUCUAUCCGCGCCUGCAAUGUAGGCGUUUUCUAUAUGCGUAAUGUGUCUUGCACUGCAUGUACUUCCGUGCUUUAGAUUAAAAUGUUUGGUCAUUUCAUUCUGCCGCUUGAGUCCACGGAGAAGCAAAGAGAGUAGAAACUGUCUCUGUUUUUUCAAAAGAAAUAAUUAAUUUAAUCGUAUGGUUACUGACAAUUGGUCCCACAAAACACUAAAAAGUGUAUGAAUAGGAGUCUGUUUUUCAUUAAAUAAUUCAUUCAAUCCUAUUCCAUCCACUUAUUUCAGAAGCAUUGCAGACUGAGCCUGGCAAUCACUCUGAGUUGCCAUUUUGUUUCACUUCACUGAACCGCUGAACACAGAUGUGGGCGACAAUUCAGAGGUCUGGGCUGGAAUCCGGCUAGCACAUCAUUCAACCUUUAUCCGCUGGCAUUAAUGGUAAAAAUGUGCACCAGCAACCACAUACGCAAGCCAGUAAAAACUGAAAUGUUACACUUCUCAUUAGGAGAAGCGUCCGCUGAAAUAUAAAAGAAAUGUCAGAAGAAAAGGGAAAAGGAUACAAAGGCAUCAAUAAAUCAUUCAAAAAGAACCAGAAUAGAAGCUGUGUUAACCCCGUGAUAACUACUCCAUGGUGGGUACAUGUAUUGUAGAUCAGUUAAUAAAAACAUUUUGACUUUUAAAUAAAAUGAGGUCAGUUUAGCUGCAGGAGGAUAAAACCUCCACAGAAGGCCCACAUCAAAAUGACACUUUUAUAACAAUAAAGGAAUUCCUCAUGACUGAAGUAUUAAUCCAGCUGCUACACCUGCAUCUCACGCCUCGCUGUGCAGCGGAGCAGCGUCACACAAAGCAGCGACGCAGUCAAGCAAGGCGCCGGAUGUCAGGUUCAUUUCCAUAACGUUGAGUCCCAGCAAGCAACCGCCGCUUUGUUACCAUGGAAACCCGUCCUUCCAGACUCUGCUGGUCCGGCUCGUCGAGUCGAGUUAGUGUGCGUCCGCUCCGGUUCCGCCAAUGCUUCCUAAAAAUGACUUUUAUCUAAUUUACUAAAGAAAAUGUGGAUGAUACAUAAUGGGAUUGAUGAAAAAUGUCUCAAACACAUAAAUUCCACAUAAAUAAGUCUGUGUCUAUAUACGGAUAUUUAUAUAGAUAGAAGACGUAUAUAUAUAUAUGUGUGUGUGUUAGGUUGAUACUACGUGGUCACAUGGUCAGAAUCGAGUCCACGCAGGAUUUAGUCGAGUCAAACAUGUGAAAACGUAAUGAUUCCAUUGCAGUCCUUCAAAGCCUUUUGCUGAUGAGGGAACACUAAAGUAAAGUGUUCCUGUGUGUGUGUGCGGUUCCUCGUGCGAUGGCGCUCAGCCUCGGCGACCCUGCAGACUCCAGGGAGCGGCUUGUUUACCGAAGCGCCGCCUCCCUGCGCCUUUGGAGCGGUUACGCCGAGAUUCCAUUUCUUUAUUGUUCAAAGAGGUCUCCAAUCGCCAUCAGGGUUUAUAUCUCAUCACAGAAGUACAUCAAAGGCAGAUGAAGCACUCUUGUGAGUUCGCCUCGUGGUGAAACCCCCCCCCCCCCCCCCUCUCCUGGGCAGGGGGGGGGACUCCUGAAGAUCCCCCGUCCACCGCGGGCCGCCUCUUUUUUCCUCUUGUGUUUUUUUUUUUUUCAGUGGCUUGCGCAUCACUCGGCCAGAGAGAGAACAGAACCCGGGCGUGAAUGAGAAGGCAAAGGGGCCCUAGUGGCAUUAGCAGCUCCCAGGAGCACGUUACGUAAACCAAUAAGUAAAUGUUUGAUGGGGACGUUUAUGCGGACGGACGCUGUCGUCUCUCGGUGCGGCGCACUCCGGAAAAUGAGGGGGCCGCUCGUGGACGGGAAACAAUACAAACACGAGAGGAGAGCAAAAUGUGGCGUAACAAAACAAGAUGAGAUGAAUCAGCCUUCGAAGACGAAUCCCUCGGAUGAGGAGGAAGGACCACGGGCGUGCCACUAAUGGCGUCGCCUCCUCACGAGAGCACAACCGCUUUUCUGAACAUCCCAACAAAUGACGGAUGGGCUGCCACUAUUAAUUGACAUUCCUGGUCCUCAGAGGAGGAACCCUGAAGGCGUUGCCAGUGAUAGCAAUGUGCUAACAGAGGUGAACUGGGAUUGUUUCGAGUUUUGAUGUUUUUGCAAAGAUCCAACGUGUCCGUUUCCCCGACCUUCUCCUCUGCCGCCAGCGGGUCGACGCACUUCACAUCGCCCACGAAAUAUCACAGACAUCCACGGUCCUCAGAGGAUUGAUCAUAACGAUUUUAAAUGAUCCCUGCAGCUUUCCUCUAGCGCCACCAUGAGGUUCACACUUGGCGCGUGUGACAUUGGACAUUGAGUCCAUUGAAAGCGGUAACGUCGUUCUUCUUUUCAUCACGUUUCCACCUCUUCUCGGCGCGCCGUCGGUUUGAAGUCUGUGGCUACUGAUGGAGCUCAUGAUCCUGUAUUUCUUCUGCAGCAUUUAGUGACACCAGAGAACAUAAUUAUUAGAAGAAUCUUACUGAUACAAGAUUGCAACAACCAAAAAACUGUUUUUUGACGUUUAUUAAAAAUAAAUUUUUUCCCCCUUUGUCCAAGGAACUACAAGUGUGCAACAACCCUUAAUUUAAGUCUUAACAAUAGUACUCGGAGUACCGGCCUCAGACGAACGGCCCCAGGGGGGCUUCACUCAAUCAUAUUACAUGUGUGCACAUCCAGAGCUGUGCCGGUAUUCCAUCCUUGUUACGCGGUAACCACCUGACGGCGUUAAGCAAACACACCGAUCAAUCCACAAGUGUGCACAGAGGGGCUUAGUGCAGGGAGAAGCAAUCAGACCCGGAUUGGAACCAGGUGAAGUCAGUUGGACACGAGACCGGAUCACACCGCCUACGCCGCCGCUUUUUGUUGUUGUGAAAGUUGUCUUUGUCCCGCUCCGGUUUGCGGCGAUCGAGGACCGAAAAUAGAAUAGAAUAGAAUAGAAAAAGCGUUUUCGCUGUAAUGAGGCGCGUUGUACAAAGGUUACGCCAAUCAGAAGCUCCUGGUGCUUCCAGAGAGCCACGCGCAGGGAGAGACAGGCAGUCACGACGAGGUCGGGAGUCUAUAAUCACACUCGGGCUUAAACUAUUUGUCUACACAGAGUCGUUAUUGGCAAUAUCGCUGUUGCAGGCGUUCACAGUGCACGCCAUCCCUCGUGGAGAUGAGCUCUCGCUUCCUCCAGCAUUAACAAAUUGCAGUAGGUGAGAUAUCAGAUUAGAGGUGCCCUCAGGCAGCCAAAACACACAUUAAUCCCGUAAUGACCCACUGUGCCGCAGUGCACGCCGAUGCUUCUUCAGAUGACGCCCUGCAAAAGUUGGCAAAGAGUCUGGCUGCUCCAUCAACUCGUAAGAAACGGAGCUCAGGAUCCUGACGUGUGACGAAUCGCCGACGUACCCGUCGGGGCUUGAGAACUGGAGCGUGAAGAAUUUCACAGCAAUUAAAGAGCAUUCCAACCUUCCGCCUCCCACCGAUGGUGACAUCUCUCCAUGAAGAGCUAACCAGAUUAGAAACCAAUUAGCGCCUCCACUGAUUGGCUGCACCUAAAACCGAGGCACCUUGCCGUUGUUUGGCAGCGCCAAUCAGCGCCUCGGCGCACACAAACAACAUCACUCCGGGAUUUCGCUAAAAACAACAACAAACCAAAAAAAAGAGAGUCAAUUUCCUCCAUAAUAUAUAUCUCACCUACUGCACACGGGUCGAGACGGAACAACCACAGGAGGUGCAUCCACAUCAUCCACCAUCCAUCCACGGCUCAAUUACAAACAACCCACUUUGCAGAAAUAGGACAAAAAAUAAGGAUGAACGUGAACGUGCACACAGACACCGACAAUAAAAAAAAAUAAUUUAAAAACGAGUUCAAUUAUCCCGGCUCAUUGCUUUUUAAUGAGAGUUCAAUCCAAGGUGUAGAACCUGUUAAUCAGUGAGAUGUGUUGGGGGGGUUGUAGCUGGAGGCGGAAGCCAACAACAAGCAUCGUUCAUGCUGUGAUAUUCAUGUGGCAGCGUUCUCCGUUUGGGGGAUUUACUUCCCCUUCGCCUGGCUGCAAGUCGGCGGCGGCGGAAUAGGGAACCGGGGAGGGUCGGUCAAAGGCGCUGACGGAGACUGAGCGACUGAGGAAGAAGAGAGUCGGGUGAGUGAGCCCCAAGAGACGAUGUGUUCGAGGCCCUUUGGAAGGAUAAAGGUGUGAUGAUAGUGGCGGUUUCUACAGCUUCUGGCUGUGAUAAACAUCUACUUUUGGUUUUGCGGAGUUCAGCGGCUGUUCAGAGAAUGAAACCACUUUCCGCUCCCUUUCGAGGUCUGAUUGACUAAUGACAUCAGACUGAUGAUAUUAUACACCCAUGCUGAGCCUGAUUGCAUCUCAGUGUAAAAGCUCUUCUGGUGGUUGAGAGGGUUGAGAGUCGGCCUGAUCCGGAACUGACAGGACUUUACUUUAACUUCUCUAUUUCACUGCGGCCACGAAGGCAUCCAUCCGCACGGCACACGGUCCAGGGAAUAAGACUUCUUGGAGACAUUUGAGACCGUUUUAAAGAUUCCCCAUUAGGAGAGACGCCGUGUGCAUUUACGCUCCAGGCACAGCAGCAUAACUUCAUCAAUGAUUAAAAUGUGCUUUUUUUUUCUUUCUUCAAACAUGACAUGUUGAGGAGCUUUAUCAUUCAUUUUUCAUGCCACAACUGUUAUUGCAUCCUGUCGCUGUAUUCCAAAAUAAAUGUUCUCCAUUGCAGUGGCCGUGAAUGUGCAGAACAUCUGUGUGUGGCUCGGCUCUGUCGAUUGGACUGUUUUUGCACAAUAUAUCUUCGUGUUGCCUCAUUCAAAUACGUGUGAACUUUUUGGCGUAUUGUGGUCCAAGACUUCUAACUUUUUUAACCUUUAUUCAGUAAGAACAAAGGGUUGUAUGUGUUGGCGGCGGCCUGGCGGAGGGCCGUGUGCUUUGUGUAAAGAGGAGAAAGUUUGUCUUGGCACGUUCUUAAAAGCUGCAUCUUUUUCUUCCGGAUGUAAAGCUUUGUUAUGUUGAAGAAUGAAUGAGUGUGAGCGGAGGUUUAGGGUCAUUGCAUCAUCUGCUGUUCUCAAUCAAGGGGCCAAAUCCCAUUUAGACGCGUUGGUGUCUUGUCGCAUUGGGGUUUUAACUAAAAGGCUCUUACCCUGGAUCGCAUGUUACACCAGGCGGGACUUUUCCCAGUCAAUUAUCUGUCUGCAGUUUGUUCGGCCCCGCUAAGCCGGCUCGUCUCGUGAUCGAGUUGUUCUUUCUGCUCGUCCCCUCAGAAUGAGACGACCACGUCACUGCAGCCGGAAUGUGCAGAAUGGAAUGGCGACAAAGAGAAGAACGUAAUAGCAACGACGCUCUUUUUUUUUUAUUUGGUCUCAGCAGGGAAAAAAAAAACCUGGGCUUCAGUUGUGAGAAGGUGGUGUGACUCGCCGGAAGAAUCCCCCAGUCGGGAGCUCAGCGGCUUUCAAUUAAAUCCACCAGCGAGCACUUUGAUGGUGGAGGCCUGCGCCCUGAAUUAGCCCCCGUGUGAAGCUUUUGUAGCUCCGCCACCGGCUGAGUGCCCCCACGCUGACCUCUCUCCCCGUCCCCCAGCCCAGAGACACGGAGGACGGUAAUGGAAAGGCAGCGUGUCACUGAAGAAAAACUUAUUUCAUUAUACACCUCUAUAAUAGAAGUUUAAAUUAUAGGACAGUGUUCUUUUAUGAAGUCAUAAUGCUGUCUGAAAGAAAGUUUAUCAGCCGGUAGGUAUUAGAGGCCACUGGGAUGUUCUCAAUCACCUCGGCCUUUUACAGCCACAGGAAGUGGUCCCAUCGAUUGUGACCUCUGUGAUUGCAGUCGGGCUCGUAAGAUGCUACUGGAAUAACUUGUUUCAUCUGUUUUGACGCUGUCUCACCAAAACAGCGGACGUCGUCCUCAUUUACUGCCUGUUAUGUCAUGUAUUGAAUUCCAACUGGACAUGACGGGUUGAAACAAACGCAGGACUUUGUGUUCUGGUCUUAAUUUGGGACCUGUUGUACAAUCGUAAGCUACGUGUUUUACGGUAACAUCCCGGUGGGCAAUAAUGCAGUUAAACACCAGGCCACGCCCCUUUUAGGGGCUAUUUUGUUGGAGGGAAAUACGCACAAUGGCUCCCUUAAGAGCACGAGGGGUAGUAAACCUGCAACGGUUCAUGUCAUUAUUAAUGUCUAAACAGAAGAAAGGUGCUCAGUUGUAAAUAAUGAUAAUAAUCCACCAAUAAGAUAUUGUACUUUAUUCAUUUAUGCACCUGUAGUACAAAAGAAGAUGCCAGAGGGCUUUUGUUUUGAAAUGGAACAGGAAGCGUUCAAAAUGAAGGCACUGGUAGUUACAAAGAGGUCAAAAGGUCGACACAUGGGCUCUACAUCCCCGGCGUCCCAGACUCUCUUCACCUCCAAACAAAUAUCUGAUAGAUUUGUUAAUUCUACACAAACACAUAAACCACUGGAGCUCGUGGAAUUAAUGAACACAGCGGCGGUAAACAUCCGCUUUGGCCCGUCGGAGGGAAUCAGAGAGAAGCGCGCUCGUGAUGUUGCAUUAAUGAUCAACAACAACAACAACAACAACACACGGACAAAGUCACGAGAGAAAGGGAAUGCCUGAACAAAGCCUCCGCUCCACAGACAGAAUGCAUCAGCCGGCUGCCAGCAGCGUUGUACCUUUAACCGAGAUAAUCACGGACUCCUUUAGGAACAAAGCGCCGCGGGGCGGCAGCAGCGAACGUCCACGCGCACUGAAGAGCGUCGCUCACCUUCAUUUCCGCCGGCGAACCUGCUCCCAGCGCAGGAGCUGUAAUUAUCAGUAAUCAUUCACUGGCUUCCAUCGCUCAACACAUGUGGGGGGGGAAACGGCUCAGGUUGUCGCUGACAACAUCAACAAUGGCUCAUUCGGUUGUUUUUGGCGAGAGGACGUCGAAUUCACGCCUGCGCUUUUUCCGCUGAGACGAGUCGGACUGUAAAGAACCCGUGGAGCUAAAAGUCCCCAAAACACAAAGAAUCAUUACUCUUCUUUCCAAAUGGUUCCACGGGUUCUUCAGAUUGUAGAAUUGCUGAGUAGACGCUCUGUUAUUCAUUCCCUCUUUGCCCUCUAUGGCCAUCAUACAACGGACUUGUUUUCCGCUUUGGUGAAACUAGCAGGAGAACACGAGAAUCUAGAAACUAUCCAAACAUUUACUGUUUCCAGCUCGCAUGAUUCACUGAUUCUUAUUAGGACGUAAAGAGAAAUACAACCAAUUCAACCAGAACAUCUCUAAACAACAUGAACUAACUCCUGCUUUCAUUGACUUGAUGCUCUGGCAAUGUGGUCUGAUAUCUUUCAUUGGAUUGGAGGCAAACUGGUGUAAAGGAGCAGUUAGCGCCUUUCGGAAGUGCUCCAGCUCCGGAUUCCCCCGUGUUUGUCUUCCCCUUUUGUUCCCCUUAGUGCACCUACACACACACACACACACACACACACACCUACCUACACACACAAUCGCUCACGGACAAACAACGAGCAGCACCGGCUUAAUCUGCAGCUCCGACUGGUUCAGGCUUGUGAUUUUCCACCAAGGUCUUUCCGUUCCCUCCCUCCCUGUAAUGUAAGAUGGUGGGAGCCCAAGUAUGACAAAGAGUGCACGUCUCCCUGUUUGACAGGGUGACCCGGUGGGCGAGGCGAGCGGGGGAAACGCAUCUGGCCCGGUCUGUAUUAUGACAAAUCUCCCUCAAAAUGAGAGCGCGCUUGCAAUAUAUUACAGCGCUGGAUGGGAGCCUCGCGGCCCGGAAUAAUUCCAGCUGCGGCGUCCACCUGCCUGCUCCAUUAUCUGCUUGAGAGAAUGACAGUGAAUUGGUCAUUCAGAAGCAACAUGACUUUUGCUUUUUUUUUUUUUUUUUCAAUCAGCAACCAGAGGAUUUAUUGUGGAUCGUAUUAAAAAGGAGUCCAAAGGAAAUACAAACAGCCGAUAAACGGAAAGAGAAAAUUGGAUUGUAAAUAGGUUCAUCUUGUUUUUUUUAAUUGAGAGACUGAUCUGCGGCCAAACGGUUUUGUUUUUUUUUCCGUGGAAUGAGACGCGUCUCCUGGGCUGAGCACACAAAUGGCUCCUUGCGUCGUUUUCCUGAGCGUGUCAAUUUCCAGUUUCAUUCCGGUUGGGUCAAAGCCACAGAAACACUGCGUUGGGUGAAGGCCAGUGGGUUAGGGUUAGAAAUAGAUUGUUAGCUGGACGGGUUUAGGUUACUGUUACUGUUAUGUGACCCGUGACUUGUUGGUUUGACCCACCGGCCUUCUGCUUCCCGUACUGUGUGUGCUUUUUCUUCCUCCACGGCCUCUGUUCCACGUGGAUCAGCCCCAGAAGGUGUGUGGCACGUCCACAGAUCGCUGCGACUCGCCGUUACAGCCGCCCAAUCAAACUCGGGCCUCACACGCCACGCGAUGAUGAGCGUUAGCGCGGAGGAAAAUGUGAGAAAAAAGCAAUUAAUUAAAGCACAGGCGAUGGAACGAUCUCUAAUCUAAACCAACAUUCCCCUGCUUGUUUUCAUUAGAGCCUCUCACUCCCUCGUGGUCACACAAACACUUUAUUUCAUUGUUCGGCAGCAGCUUUCAAUAACACGUCGUCCAGCCUCGGGUCAUUUUCCCUCCCAAAGCGGAAGCACUCGGACUGCUUG